rnacentral:lncRNA from 10 species
CUCCUCAGAGGUGCAGUGAGGAGUGAAUGAAUUGCCCACAUCAAAAUCUUUUUGUUUUGAGAUUUUAACAAUCAGACUCAGGUCAACAGUGGUUGAGAUAAUGGCCCAUAAUUGGCUCCAGAAUGCAAACGUGGCAUUUCUCCAGGAUUCCAUUAGCUCAGAAUGACAAGUCCUGCAGAUGAGGACUACUUCCUGCACGAUGACCACAGCGGCUAAGAGGCUGAGGCAGGAGAACCGCUUGAACCCAGAAGGUGGAGACUGUGGUGAGCGGAGAUUGUGCUGUUGCAUUCCAGCCUGGGCGGCAGAGCAAAAGUCUGCCUCAAAUAAAUACAUAAAUAAAUGUCCUCUGUGCUGUCUCUGUGGAGGAUCAAGAGUGGUGGGACCAGUGGGGGAACAGGAGACAGUGAGGAGGCCAGGCCCACAGGCCAGUGG